rnacentral:lncRNA from 1 species
GGCAAGGGGAGCAGAUAGAUGCUCAGGAGCGAAAGACGCAGAGAAUUGGAUCUGGCGCCUCCUAACGCAGCCCGCACAGGAGCGAAGGAGAGUGUGACGAUCCCCCUGAUGCGGCUGAGAUGUUCUGAAAUGAAGACGUUGGCUCUCAUCCCCAGCCUGAAGAGAGAAAAUUCUGAGAUGGCUCCCUUACAGAUUGAGAGCAGAUACGGGGUUUCACCGUGCUAGCCAGGAUGAUCUCGAUC